rnacentral:rRNA from 1 species
UACGAAGGGGGCUAGCGUUGCUCGGAAUUACUGGGCGUAAAGCGCACGUAGGCGGCUUUCUAAGUCGGGGGUGAAAUCCUGGAGCUCAACUCCAGAACUGCCUUCGAUACUGGAAGCUCGAGUCCGGAAGAGGUUGGUGGAACAGCUAGUGUAGAGGUGAAAUUCGUAGAUAUUAGCUAGAACACCAGUGGCGAAGGCGGCCAACUGGUCCGGUACUGACGCUGAGGUGCGAAAGCGUGGGGAGCAAACAGG